UACGUAGGGUGCAAGCGUUGUCCGGAAUCAUUGGGCGUAAAGCGCGCGUAGGCGGCCCGGUAAGUCCGCUGUGAAAGUCGGGGGCUCAACCCUCGAAUGCCGGUGGAUACUGUCGGGCUAGAGUGCGGAAGAGGCGAGUGGAAUUCCUGGUGUAGCGGUGAAAUGCGCAGAUAUCAGGAGGAACACCGGUGGCGAAGGCGGGUCUCUGGGCCGAUACUGACGCUGAGGAGCGAAAGCGUGGGGAGCGAACAGG
rnacentral:rRNA from 1 species